AUUGAACGCUGGCGGCAGGCCUAACACAUGCAAGUCGAACGGUAACAGGAAGCAGCUUGCUGCUUUGCUGACGAGUGGCGGACGGGUGAGUAAUGUCUGUGAAACUGCCCGAUGGAGGGGGAUAACUACUGGAAACGGUAGCUAAUACCGCAUAACGUCUCAAGACCAAAGUGCGGGACCUUAGGGCCUCUUGCCAUCGGCUGUGCCCAGAUGGGAUUAGCUAGUAGGUGGGGUAACGGCUCACCUAGGCGACGAUCCCUAGCUGGUCUGAGAGGAUGACCGGCCACACUGGAACUGAGACACGGUCCAGACUCCUACGGGAGGCAGCAGUGGGGAAUAUUGCACAAUGGGCGAAAGCCUGAUGCAGCCAUGCCGCGUGUAUGAAGAAGGCCUUCGGAUUGUAAAGUACUUUCAGCGGGGAGGAAGGGAGUAAAGUUAAUACCUUUGCGCAUUGACGUUACCCGCAGAAGAAGCACCGGCUAACUACGUG
rnacentral:rRNA from 1 species